ACUGGGCACAGUGGUGCCUGCCUGUAGUCUCAGCUAUGUGGGAGGCUGAGGUGGGAGGAUUGCUUGAACCCAGCAGUUUUGGGCUGUAGUGGGCUAUGCUUAUCAAGUGUACACACAAGUUCGGCAUCAAUAUGGUGACCUCCCGGGAGCGGGGGACCACCAGGUUGCCUAAGGAGGGGUGAACUGGCCCAGGUCGGAAAUGGAGCAGGUCAAAACUCCCGUGAUGAUCAGUAGUGGGAUCGCGCCUGUGAAUAGUCACUACACUUCAGUCUGGACAACAUAGCGAGACCCCAUUUCU
ensembl:misc_RNA Metazoa_SRP Metazoan signal recognition particle RNA